AAGGGGAAAAGCCAGCGAUCGAGCGAGGGCGCGCGCGAAAACUCCCGGCAGGUGUACUAAUAGUGUUGUGAUUAUAUAGGAGAAUGCCCUUUCUACUGGGGGACAGCAGCUGAAGAGUUUAGAGCACUUUCAUUUGGACCCUUGGAUGCCCACUGAGCAGAUGCUUGAGACCUACGAGUAAUCUUCAGAUCAGAGCGGAACCAUAAGGCCUGUCCUUUGCGUGGGGAGGAGACAGCCCAUGUUGUGUGGAAAUGAACGGGGAGCAGCAGCUGGAUGCAGAUGCUGGAUCUGGUGUGGAAGAAGUGGAAUUAAGCUGGGAAGAUUAUCUAGAAGAGACCGGGUCCACUGCAGUUCCCUAUGGAUCGUUUAA